rnacentral:rRNA from 1 species
AACGAACGCUGGCGGCAUGCCUAACACAUGCAAGUCGAAGGAACCCUUCGGGGUUAGUGGCGCACGGGUGCGUAACGCGUGGGAAUCUGCCCUUGGCUUCGGAAUAACAGUUAGAAAUGACUGCUAAUACCGGAUGAUGUCGCAAGACCAAAGAUUUAUCGGCCAGGGAUGAGCCCGCGUAGGAUUAGGUAGUUGGUGGGGUAAAGGCCUACCAAGCCGACGAUCCUUAGCUGGUCUGAGAGGAUGAUCAGCCACACUGGGACUGAGACACGGCCCAGACUCCUACGGGAGGCAGCAGUGGGGCAUAUUGGACAAUGGGGGCAACCCUGAUCCAGCAAUGCCGCGUGAGUGAUGAAGGCCUUAGGGUUGUAAAGCUCUUUUACCCGGGAUGAUAAUGACAGUACCGGGAGAAUAAGCGCCGGCUAACUCCGUGCCAGCCGCCGCCGUAA